GGGAGGGGUGCAAGCGUUGUUCGGAAUCACUGGGCGUAAAGCGCGUGUAGGCGGCUUGGGCGAGUCGAGUGUGAAAUCCCAGGGCUCAACCCUGGAACUGCACCCGAAACUGCUUCGCUAGAGUCCCGGAGAGGGUGGCGGAAUUUCCGGUGUAGAGGUGAAAUUCGUAGAUAUCGGAAGGAACACCAGUGGCGAAGGCGGCCACCUGGACGGUGACUGACGCUGAGACGCGAAAGCGUGGGGAGCAAACAGGAUUAGAUACCCUGGUAGUCCACGCCGUAAACGUUGAGUGCUAGGCGUCGGGGGCAUUGACCCCUCCGGUGCCGGAGUUAACGCAUUAAGCACUCCGCCUGGGGAGUACGGCCGCAAGGCUA
rnacentral:rRNA from 1 species